rnacentral:rRNA from 1 species
AUUGAACGCUGGCGGCAGGCCUAACACAUGCAAGUCGAGCGGAUUUCUGGAGCUUGCUCCUUGAUUCAGCGGCGGACGGGUGAGUAAUGCCUAGGAAUCUGCCUGGUAGUGGGGGACAACGUUUCGAAAGGAACGCUAAUACCGCAUACGUCCUACGGGAGAAAGCAGGGGACCUUCGGGCCUUGCGCUAUCAGAUGAGCCUAGGUCGGAUUAGCUAGUAGGUGAGGUAAUGGCUCACCUAGGCGACGAUCCGUAACUGGUAUGAGAGGAUGAUCAGUCACACUGGAACUGAGACACGGUCCAGACUCCUACGGGAGGCAGCAGUGGGGAAUAUUGGACAAUGGGCGAAAGCCUGAUCCAGACAUGCCGCGUGUGUGAAGAAGGUCUUCGGAUUGUAAAGCACUUUAAGUUGGGAGGAAGGGCAGUAAGUUAAUACCUUGCUGUUUUGACGUUACUGACAGAAUAAGCACCGGCUAACUCUGUGCCAGCCGCCGCGGUAA